rnacentral:lncRNA from 1 species
GGGAGUUGCUGCCUUUUUUGCCAUCAUUGACCUAUGUCUUCAGAGGAGACAAUUCAAAAGCAGGAAGCUUCGAAAGUACAUUCUACUUGCCCCAGACAGGGAUGGCCAGAUGCAAGACCCGAAACUCCUUACAAUGCUGGCUGCUAAAGAGGAUGAGGCUGAGGCAAGGCAAAGGUAGCUGGCGGAGAAAGCCAGGAGGGGGGAAGGGAAUCCCGAGUGGUGACUGUGGAGCCACGCUUGUGAUCAGGGACUGUGGCAGAGCUGUGGCCAGGCCUUUCUCCUCUCUCCCCUUGUCAGCUUUCCAGCAGAGUUCUCCAUCAAUAAACACAUCCUGGAAAAGA